rnacentral:rRNA from 1 species
UACGGAGGAUCCGAGCGUUAUCCGGAAUUACUGGGCGUAAAGAGUUGCGUAGGUGGCACUGUGUGUCGGUAGUGAAAGCGUGUGGCUCAACCACAUAUACAUUAUCGAAACUGCAGAGCUAGAGGACGAGAGAGGUUAUUGGAAUUCCCAGUGUAGGAGUGAAAUCCGUAGAUAUUGGGAGGAACACCGAUGGCGUAGGCAGAUAACUGGCUCGUUCCUGACACUAAGGCACGAAAGCGUGGGGAGCAAACGGG